rnacentral:rRNA from 1 species
GUGGGGAAUAUUGGGCAAUGGGCGAAAGCCUGACCCAGCAACGCCGCGUGAGGGAAGAAGGUUUUCGGAUUGUAAACCUCUGUCCUUGGUGACGAACACAAUGACGGUAGCCAAGGAGGAAGCCCCGGCUAACUACGUGCCAGCAGCCGCGGUAAUACGUAGGGGGCAAGCGUUGUCCGGAAUGACUGGGCGUAAAGGGCGUGUAGGCGGCCGAUUAAGUCUGGAGUGAAAGUCCUGCUUUCAAGGUGGGAAUUGCUUUGGAGACUGGUUGGCUUGAGUGCGGAAGAGGCAAGUGGAAUUCCCAGUGUAGCGGUGAAAUGCGUAGAGAUUGGGAGGAACACCAGUGGCGAAGGCGACUUGCUGGGCCGUAACUGACGCUGAGGCGCGAAAGCGUGGGGAGCGAACAGGAUUAGAAACCCUGGUAGUCC